UACGUAGGGUGCAAGCGUUGUCCGGAAUUAUUGGGCGUAAAGAGCUCGUAGGCGGCUUGUCGCGUCGAAUGUGAAAACCCGAGGCUCAACUUCGGGCUUGCAUUCGAUACGGGCAGGCUGGAGUUCGGUAGGGGAGACUGGAAUUCCUGGUGUAGCGGUGAAAUGCGCAGAUAUCAGGAGGAACACCGGUGGCGAAGGCGGGUCUCUGGGCCGAUACUGACGCUGAGGAGCGAAAGCGUGGGGAGCGAACAGG
rnacentral:rRNA from 1 species